rnacentral:pre_miRNA from 1 species
UUAACUCAGAUUUGUAUGGAGUUGGAACAGCGCCCCUAGCGACAAACGUAGGCAAACGUUCCAACUCCAUACAGAUUCGAGUUA